rnacentral:rRNA from 1 species
AGUGAACGCUGGCGGCAGGCCUAAUACAUGCAAGUCGAACGGCAGCACAGCAGAGCUUGCUCUGUGGGUGGCGAGUGGCGGACGGGUGAGGAAUACAUGGGAAUCUGCCCAGUCGUGGGGGAUAACGUAUGGAAACGUACGCUAAUACCGCAUGCGCCCUACGGGGGAAAGUCGGGGACCGCAAGGCCUGACGCGAUUGGAUGAGCCCAUGUUCGAUUAGCUAGUUGGCGGGGUAAAGGCCCACCAAGGCGACGAUCGAUAGCUGGUCUGAGAGGAUGAUCAGCCACACUGGAACUGAGACACGGUCCAGACUCCUACGGGAGGCAGCAGUAGGGAAUAUUGGACAAUGGGUGCGAGCCUGAUCCAGCCAUGCCGCGUGCAGGAAGACGGCCUUCUGGGUUGUAAACUGCUUUUG